rnacentral:tRNA from 1 species
GGAGAGGUGGCUGAGUGGCUGAAGGCACCGGUUUGCUAAACCGGCGUACGGGCGUAUACCUGUACCGCGGGUUCGAAUCCCGCCCUCUCCG